UUUUAACUGAUUAUAGAUUCUUUUGUUUUCGCUGGAGCUAUUCAAAAAGACCUUGGCAAUACUAUUGACAGAAUCAAUUCUUCUAUUGAAAUACCCAUGUGUUUCUAUGUGUUCCUUUAAAGUGGACCAAAUAUAUAAAGUAGGACAUUUUUCAUGAAUGUCAGUGCAAAUCGUGUACAGUCGAACUUAGCAAGUGACAAAGUAUCAAAAUGUUUAAGGCGUUUUUGAUCACAAUGCUGGCUCUCUUCGCCUGCGCGGCGGCCGACCCGUAUGUGGUGCCUCUGCCGUACGCUGCAACUGCCGGCUACCCCCUUUCCUACGUUUCAUCCUUAUCAGUACCUACCGUCUACAGCUCUGCGUUCACCGGCUUCUACCCACAAAUCGCAUACGCAAAUGAUUAUAUCUUUCGUAAAUAAAAUGUUAAAGUAAAUACAUACAUCUGGAACUUCUUCUGUUACGAUAAAUAAAAUUUACUGUUGUUGGUUA